rnacentral:tRNA from 1 species
GCCGCGUUCGUCUAGCGGUUAGGACAUCACCUUCUCAAGGUGAGUACAUGGGUUCGAUUCCCGUACGCGGUACCA